rnacentral:tRNA from 1 species
CGCGGCGUAGCUCAGUAGUAGAGCAGCGGGCUCAUAACCCGAAGGCCCCUGGUGCAACUCCAGGCGUCCGCGA